CCUCCCCCUCCCCCUCCCCUCCCUCCCCUCCCCCUCCCCGCGCCCGCACGCCCGGGAGCGCCGUCCAGCCUCGGCUCGGCGGCUCCGCAGGCACCGAGCCACCGGGUCCCCCCGGAAUUUCCUUCUGGGCGUAGCGCUUCCCCGGGGGAGGAAGGGAGAGGGGGAGGAAAGAAAGGAAGCCGAGAGCGCCCGGGCAGGGCAGCGCCCCCGGCCCCGUCGGAGAUACCCUUUUGCUCCAACUCCGGGUAACUCAAGAAGAGUCUGCACAAAGCUCGGGGCUCGGGGAGGAGUCCGGGGUGGAAUGCACGGGAGGCAGUGGUGCCGGCCGAAACCCGGGGUUGAAAUUCUAUCCCGCACCCAGCCCUUGCCCUGAAAUCCUGCACUUGAGCUGAUGGGUGUUAUUUCAGGUCAGCCGCACUUCGGAGAAGGCAGGAGGGCAAACUUCUGGCUUGGUGCGAUUCGCCUCUUCAGCCUGCAGUGCGAGCCUUUACGGCCCACAGCAGGGCCGGGGCCCCAGAGGGAAGCCCUGUCGUUUGCUCCGUGGAUUUCCACCUGCUCGGAGGUUUUUCUUGCCAAUCGCAUUUCCUGCCAGGGUGCCUACUGUAUGAAGGUGGGUCCAUGGUGAAGGUUACUUUGUAGGUUGGUCCUGAAUCCCUGUUGGGGAGCUUCACUCUGUGUGUGCUUCCAAACCACCAUAGUCCUUUUGCAACACCCAUCUCAAGAGAAGAGUUUUCUGUCAACCUACAAUUUCCAGUGUUUUCAUGGAAACCCUUUGUACGGCAUUUCACAAUUUACAAAGUUCUUCUACAAACGUACUCUCACUUUGGUCUUGGCACAGUUGAGAGGUGGGAACAUCUACUGGUGUGUUCUUCAAUUUGCAAAUGGAGACGAGGCAUCUGAGAUGCAGAGAAAUGCCCCGGCUGCUCCAGGACAAGAGGGCUACAUUUUCCAUUUCAAAGUUCCCAGAUCUGGGGCACCUGGGUGGCUCAGUGGUUGAGUGUCUGCCUUUGGCUCAGGUCAUGAUCCCAAGGCCCUGAGAUCAAGUCCUGCAUCGGGCUCCCUACAGGGAGCCUGCUUCUCCCUCUGCCUGUGUCUCUCAUGAAUAAAUAAAUAAAAAUCUUUUUAAAAGAAAGAAAG
rnacentral:lncRNA from 12 species